ACGCCUGGGGACGUGGACCUGGCCGAGGGAAGGGAGAGGGUACCGGUCCUUGGUGUAAUCACGUUUUACUCUGCUGGGAAGGCGUGUUCAUCUUCCCACCGAAACGCGCCAUAGACUGGAUCAGGCCUUUUUUGCUCAUCAUCGUUUCAAAAAACGUUUACUGAAGGAAAGAAAGGAAGAAGGCAGGAGGAGCGAUAAAGAGAUAGCAAGAGAAAGAGGAUGGAAAGUGGGGGAAAUGAAUAGAUUUCUAAAGAUUGGGAAAGCCUUUUAGCAGGGAGAUGUUUUCCUGGAGGUCUCGGAACUCUCUUGGUCUCACAGCCUCUGUAAACCGAGGGCUGCACACCUGUCUCUAGUCCCCAGCUGAUUUCCAGAGGCCCUUCCAGCUCCUGUGUUGAUUCUUCUGCCUCGACUCACUUCUAGCAGACAAGUACCAUCCAGCUGACCCUGGAAAUAAGAUGUUCCCCCUUUUUCCUUCUGAUAUGAGAAGAUACCUGUUAGCCCUCAAGCUGCUCAGAUGAGGGACUUUCCUGCCAAGAACCAACGUGAAGAGUGUAGCUUCUAUAAAGGAUUUCACUGGAUUUUUGUACUAAUGAACAAAUUUUAUUUGGAUGAGUAGAUAUUUAAUGUGCUGUUAUUACCACUGGAGUUAAAAGUAUAUUAUAAAUUCUUAUGUCUUUAAAACUAGAGAGAGGAUUCUGGGAAAAUGGCAGAGUAGAAAGCACCAGGAAUCCGACUUCCCACCUAAACAACUGUUCUAGCAGCAUCUGUCUGACAUAACUAUUUUAAAACUUUGGGGUCUAUUGAAAGCUAGCAACUUCUAGGGGAAAAGUUGGACAGUAAGCUGCAGUUAAUUUCAGUGAAUUUCAGCACAGUAAUAGCCAAUAGUAGCCAAACCCUACUCCUCAGCCCUGUGUCAGGCAGCUGUGUAUGUGUUCCUGGAGCAGUUUGCACACAACUUGCUGGAAUCAAGGUUGAAAAAAAAAAAACUGUCCUCCAAAUAUUAGGGCUCUGAUUGCUGAUUGUUGCUUUACAAAGGUGCAGAAGAAGAAAUGACAGCCAUUGUUUUGUUGUUGCACCUUCCCCCCCAUUGUGGCAAACUCCACCUCCUCUGGCUGAAGCAACUUCCAGGGGAUUUAAACGAUUAGAGCCUUUUUCUGCCCUUCAUUUUUCUCUUUUUCUCCAUUUUUGGAAGCCAGACAUUGAAGGCUAUGACAUUCAAAACAACUGUGUAUACACUUGUUACAGAAGAUAUUAGAAAGUCACUGUGCGUGCCCAGGGACAGGCUCAGAAAAGACCCAAGAAGACUGUAAGCUUAUAUUUCAGGCUAAUCCUCAGCACAGAGACAGCCUAUAACAAUAAAAAAUAAAAAGCUAGUAAACCCUGGGGAAGGAAAAUAAUCUGAUUUUCAGAAUUACCAGAUUAUUAGAUUCAAAAGUCUAGUUUUCAACAACAACAACAACAACAAAAACAAAAACACAAGAGAUACAAAGAAACAAGCAAAUAUGGCCCAUUCAAAGGAAAAAAUAAACCAACAGAAACUGUCCUUGAAAAGGAUCUGAUGGAGGAUCUAUUAGACAAAGACUUUAAAACAACUGUCUUAAAGUUACCCAAAGAACUAAAGGAAGAUGUGGAAAAUGUCAAGAAAAUGAUGUAUGAACAAAAUGGAAAUAUCAAUAAAAAGAGAGAAAACCUAAAAAGAAACCAAAAAGAAAUUGGUUUCCAGAAAUUUUCUGGAACUGAAAAGUACAAUAGCUGAAAUUUAAAAAAACUUGCUAGAGAGAUUCAAUGGCAGAUUUGAGCAAGCACAAAAAUCAACAAACUUGAAGAAAGGACAAGGAAAAUUAUUGAAUCUGAGGAAUAUAAAGAAAAAAAUUGAAGAAAACAGAGCCUAAAGGACCUGUAGGACAUCGUCAAACAGCCCCACACAUGCUUUGUGGGGAGUCCUUGAGGAGAAGUAAGAGAGAGAAAGAGGCAAAGAGAUUAUUCAAAGAAAUUAUGACCAAAAACUUGCCAAAUUUAAUGAAAGACAUGAAUAUAAAUAUCCAAAAAGCUCAAUGAACUCCAAGUAGGAUAAAUUCAAAGACACACCAAAAGUAUUACCAUCAAACUAUUAAAAGCCGAAGACAGAAAAUUUUGAAAGCCGCAAGAGAGAAGUGAUCAUCACAUAUAAGGAAUCCUCAAUAAGAUUAUCUGCAGAUUUCUCAUCAGAAACUUCAGAGGCCAGAAAGCAGUAGGCUGAUAUAAAGUGCUAAAAGAAAGAAACUAUCAACUAAGAAUCCUAUAUCCAGCAAAUCCGCACUUCAAAAGCUGGAGGAUUCACACUUCUUUGUUUCAAAACUUACCACAAAGUUACAGCGAUCAAAACAGUGUGGUACUGGCACAAAGACAGACAUAUAGACCAAUGGAAUAGAACACAGUCCAGAAAUAAACCCUCUUAGCACAAGGGUGCUAAGAUUAUCCAAUGGGGAAAAGAUGAUCUUUUUGACAAAUGGUGCUGGGAAAAUUGCCACAUACAAAAGAAUACAGUUGGACCCUUACCUGAUACCAUUUACAUUAAAUUAAUGCAGACUAGAUCCAUAACCUAAUGUAAGAACUAAAACUAUAAAACUCAUAGAAGAAAGCAUAGGGCAAAAGUUCACAACAUUAGAAUGGGCAAUAAUUUCUUGGAUAUAACAUCACAAGUACAGGCAACAACAACAACAAAAGAACACAAAUUGGAUUGUAUUACAAUUUUAAAAUUUUGUGCAUCAAAAGUACUAUUAACAGAGUAAAAAAGGCAACCCACAGAAUGGGAGAAAAUAUUUGAAAAUCAUCUCUAAUAAGGGAUUAAUAUCCAGAAUAUAGAGAAAACUCCUAAAACUCAACAACAACAAAAAACAACAUGAUUUUAAAAUGAGCAAAGGACUUGAAUAGACAUUUCUCCAAGAAGAUAUACAAAUGGCCAGUAAGUACAUGAAAUGAUGCUCAACAUCAUGAAUAAUUAGGGAAAUACAGAUCAAAACAACAAUGAGAUACCACCCCACCCUUAUUAGGAUGGCUACUAUUUAAAAAAUAAUAAUUAUUAUAAGUGUCGGCAAGGAUGUGGAGAAAUUGGAACCCUUAUGCACUGUUGGUGGGAAUGUAAAAGGGCACCACCAGUGUAAAAUGGUGGUUCUUUAAAAACUAAAAGUAGAAUUACCAUAUGACCCAGCAUUUCCACUGCUGAAUAUAUACACAAAAGAAGUGAUAGCAGUAUCAAAGAGAUAUCUGUACAUCUGUGUUUAUAGCAGCAUUAUUCACAGUAGUUAAAAUGUGGAAGCAGACCAAGUGACUAUUGGUGGAUGACUGAAUAAGCAAAAUGUGGUAAACACAUACAAUGGCAUAUUAUUCCGCCUUAAAUAGGAAGGAAAUUUUGAUAUAUGGUAUAACAUGGAUGAAUCUUGAGGACAUUAUGUUAAGUGAAAUGAGACAAUAACAAAAAGGCAAAUACUGUAUUAUUCCACUUAUAUGAGGUACUUAGAGUAGUCAAAUGGUGGUUGCCUGGGGCUGAGCAGAGGGAAGAAUGGGAGUUAUUGCUUAAUGAAUACAGUUUUGCAAGAUGGAAAGACUUCUGGAGAUGGGUAGUGGUGAUGGCAGCACAACAAUAUGAUUGUACUUAAUGCCACUCUACUGUACACUUAAAAAUGAUUAAGAUGGUAAAUUUUAUGUUAUGUAUGUUUUACCACAAUGAAAAAUUG
rnacentral:lncRNA from 1 species